UCAGGAACACAGGUUGUUUGAGCGACUGC
rnacentral:piRNA from 1 species